CCUAGCACGAGGGGCAGAUCUUAUAACAGAAGGGUUUAAUUGCAUGUCAAAAUUAAAUCUCUUUUGAUGAAGAACAAUUCAACUACGGCUCUGCCUAAUCAAAUUAACAAAGUCUUUUUUGAUUUUCAAUUAUCUUCUUCAUAGGAACACUUUAUCCGAGGCUCCUGCAAUAGCGCCCGACAGGCCACGCAUUCUCAAUGAGAGUUUCCUCCGGAUGCGCUGACCAGGGCCCAAGUUGCCUGCUCCGGACCGGCGGUCGGAGCCGCUUAGGUUUAUAACUAUCAACGGGAAUCUCUGCCUUGAGACCAGUAAUAUCCAGCUGGAGCAUCAUGCAAGACACACAUACAAUCUGCAUUUCCAGAAGCCACAUGGAAAGAAAAAAAGAAGUCCGUGCCCUGGUGUAUGACUGUGAGCUCUGCACUCAGGAAGCUGAGUCCAGGAGACCGAGAGUUCAAGGAUAGAGUGAGACCCUCCCAAACAAAACAAAACAAAACAACAAACAGAACUAGUUCAAAACAACUCAAAGGUCUUCUGGCAAUCAGAAGUCUCUCCCAGAGCUGAGGGUUGAACCCAGGACACGAUGCAUGCUGGAAAAUCACCCCGCCUCUGAGCUUUGCCCCCUCCCCAGGGUUAAAGUUCAUAACGGCAAAGCAAAGGCCUGGAUGACAGCAGGAACAGCCAGCUGCAGCGGGAGGCAGAGAGUAUUCUGGGAAUGAUGUGAGAGCGGCCACAUUCAUCAGUGACAUGGCAGAAGCCCACGCUUGACUGUCAUCUGCUUGGAAAGAAAGGACAUUAGAGCCAGAAGACCUGCAGGAAUUAUGCUGACUGCGAGUGCCCUGCCCCUGCUGGCCCGACAGGUAGGUAGAUGCACGCAUUCCUGCCUGCAGCUCUGCUGCUCCAGCAUGGCCACACAAGGACUAGGACAGCCAGUGUCCUCAGACAAGCCUCAUGGCAAAUAUACAGUGGUAGGUGACCAGCAGCCCCCUCUGGAUGGCAUCUCCUGCCAGGCUUCCUGCAGCUGCCAGAGCCUCUGCCCAAGCAUAGCCUCCAGUGGUCCCCAAACCCUGUUCAUAAUUUCUCUUCCCACUUAUCUGACAGCUCUUGUCACCUGACCCACCUUAAUCUCCUUCCAGGCCUCAGGGAGAGCCUUCUCCUGGCUCUUCCUAGCAGCCAGACCCUUUAAUCCUUUUAGUUGUGAACCUGUUUGCCUCGCUUCUUGAAUUUCAAAGGAGGCCCUGGUCUGGAGUGUAUUGUCCAUCUGUGUCUGUGCACGGUCCCGUGUCCACAGACCGGAGGAGACAUGGCACCCAGCGUCCCCAGCCACCUCUCAACUAGGCUGUCGGGAUGUUUUGGCAAGGGUUUGCAACCUUGAAAACAGGAUGCUUCUCUGGACGGUAAGCGAUUUCUCUCCAGUCUGAGAGCCACCAUGAGCCUCUCACACAUCCAGUUAGCCUGAGUUCCUGCUCCGAGGAUGCGUCACCCUGAGGGAGAGACCACUCUGCCCUUCAUUUUGUUCUCAGAGCUGAUCCUCACCCUCUGCUGCCACUGUCUACAGCAGCUGCCCCCUACCAGCUGACACCCUAAUUCCUUCUUGCCUUCUUGAGGUACAUAGAGCUGGGUUUCUGACCAAGCCUCAGGCUGGUUUGGGCAAAGAGGGAGGAAGGUUCAGGCUCCAUAAAGAGAAUAAUAUCCACCCAGGGUGGGGUCAAGAGAGAUGCAACAGAGCCACCACCCACAUGGUUGUCACCUGUACUUAGGGCUCCCUGUGUCCUGCCAGCCACAUUCCAACUGCCCCUCAGCCCUGUGUCUCUCUCAGCUCUUCAACAUUGGCUUCACCAUCCACCAGCUGCCCCCUCCAACUCAGGGACCUGCCUCCGGAUUCAACUCAAGAACGACAUAGGUAUCAGCUCACCUAAUCUAGAAGUUACCCUGACCUCACUUUGCAUGGAGAUCAAAAGACUUCUGCUCAAAAUGGAGAUGGGCCAUGGCUCCAGACCCUGCUGCUGCUGACCUUUGGGAAAAGAACCAAUCACCACACAGAGACAGACAGGCAGGCAGACAGACAGAUAGACAGACAGACAGACAGACACAAGUGGCUGAGAGGAGGGUGUGAGAGUCUGAAGAGUGUCUGGCUCUCUCCUCUCCUUCCCGUUCCUCCCAGGCUGUGUUAACAAUACCAUGAGCCUCUGCUCCCCUGACAUCACUCGGCUUCUAGGAAGAACAAUGUGAAUAAAUGUUUUGCAAGAAAAUGGAAAAAUUGAAAAA